rnacentral:rRNA from 1 species
UACCAGCACCCCGAGUGGUCGGGACGAUUAUUGGGCCUAAAGCAUCCGUAGCCGGCCUUACAAGUCCUCCGUUAAAUCCAACUGCUUAACAGAUGGGCUGCGGAGGAUACUAUAAGACUAGGAGGCAGGAGAGGCAAGCGGUACUCAGUGGGUAGGGGUAAAAUCCGUUGAUCCAUUGAAGACCACCAGUGGCGAAGGCGGCUUGCCAGAAUGCGCUCGACGGUGAGGGAUGAAAGCUGGGGGAGCAAACCGG